AAGGAUUUAAGUUAAAUAUUAAACUUUUAACCUUCAAAGUUGAACAUAGAAGAGUCUCUAAGCCUUA
rnacentral:tRNA from 1 species